AGCAGUGGGGAAUAUUGGACAAUGGGCGAAAGCCUGAUCCAGCCAUGCCGCGUGUGUGAAGAAGGUCUUCGGAUUGUAAAGCACUUUAAGUUGGGAGGAAGGGCAUUAACCUAAUACGUUGGUGUCUUGACGUUACCGACAGAAUAAGCACCGGCUAACUCUGUGCCAGCAGCCGCGGUAAUACAGAGGGUGCAAGCGUUAAUCGGAAUUACUGGGCGUAAAGCGCGCGUAGGUGGUUUGUUAAGUUGGAUGUGAAAUCCCCGGGCUCAACCUGGGAACUGCAUUCAAAACUGACAAGCUAGAGUAUGGUAGAGGGUGGUGGAAUUUCCUGUGUAGCGGUGAAAUGCGUAGAUAUAGGAAGGAACACCAGUGGCGAAAGCGACCACCUGGACUGAUACUGACACUGAGG
rnacentral:rRNA from 1 species